AACCCGCGAAUCAGGAGAUCAUGACCUGAGCCUAAAGCAAGAGUCUGACGCUUAACCACCUGAGCCCCCCAGGCGCCCCUGGGUGAUCUGACCCCCCUCAGCUGCAGGGUAGGUGUCUCAGAUCAGGGGUCUGCCUGCUCAGAUUCGAGUCCCUGCUGUACUGCCUCUGAGCUGUGUGGCCUCAGACAAGUUACUUAACGUCUCUGAGUCUCGGUUUCCCCAUCCAAAAGUGGGGUAGGAAUAGAGCUCCUCACGGUGAGACCACGUGGGAGGGAUGGUCGGCUUCUACUGUGUCCCCGCUUAGUAGCCCCGUGGCGUUGUGCGUCCUGUACACGGGAGGGAGCCACGGACCCGAGACCCUCCGUCCUGCCUGCCGUCGGAGCCCCUGGUCUGGGCACCUCCCGGCCUCUAAUUGUGGCACUGUUGUCCUUCCUGCUCACGGGCGCGGCAUGCCCCGGAGUCUGCUGUGGGCCUGGCGCUUCCCCGCCACCCACAGACGGGGUCCCCCCAGCAGCCUGGCAGGGGCCUGUCUCUAUCGGAAGGCUGUCUGAGCGACUGCCUGGGGGCGGCCGCCGCGCUGGGGCCGCAGAGGGUGAGAGAGAGAAUGGGCCCAGUGUCCGCUUGGCACUAGAGGCCAGUCGGUGACCACCUUCCUUCCGUCUGCUGCUCUGAGCCAGGCUUGUGUAGGGACCGGGGCUGUGGUUUCCCCGAGGGGCGGCAGGCAGCCGGCAUGGGGCGGGCAGCCGUCCAGCUCUGGGGGAACAGGCUUAGGAGACUGGAGGGAGAACCCCAGGAUGCUGAGAACACUCUGGGCUUAAGUGAGCGAGCGGGGUCGGGCUUGGAGUGUCAGCACGCAGGAGCCGGGGACGUGGACGGACAGCGAGGGGGACGUCUGCUGGUUAUCAGUUCUGGACUUUGUCCCCAAGACAUCUUUGUCCCCAGACUUUUCCGUUUCAUCCAUUUGUGUGUGUCCAGGAAAACCAGCUCAGCGGCUUUGGGGUAUCCGCCUCCGGGGGGCUGGCUCAGGGUGAUGGACUGGCGGGGGGCACUCCAGAGUGGGAGAGUCGUGUCCAGGCUACUGACCGGGGCCAGUGAGUAGAAGGGGAGCCAGUGGACCGCCAGAUCUCGGGGUACACUCUCCCCGCUCCCCGCGGGUAUCUUCCAAGGCAGACGAGGGGACAGCCACAGCUCUCCAGACCUCUCUCCCCCUGUUUGGACACCACCGUGGCCAUUCCCGGGUUGGGAAAAGUUCAGUCUUGGGCAUCUGAGACUCAGACCCAAGCUCCCCACUUUCCCCUGGGAAGGUCGUGUCUUGGGUCACGUGCUUUCCUUUCUCUUGGCCACACGACUGCCGGGUCACCUGACAGAUCUGGGUUUGCCUUUUAAAAAUCGGCCAAACUCCUUCCCGAAGCAGCCUCACCAUCUUGCGUUCCCGCCGGCAGUGUGUGAGGCUCCUGCUUCCUCCCCGUCCUCACCAACACUUGUUAUUGUCCGUCUUUUUAAUUAUGGCCGUAAUUUGCGCCCGGCGGGUGCGGAUGGGACCUUGCUGUGGCUUCAGUGUGCGUUCCCCCGAGGACCGUCCGUGCUGAGCGUCUCGCGCCUUAUUAGCGGUGUGCCUCUCCCUUAGGGAAGGGUCUGGUUUGAUGUUGUGUGUGUGUGUGCCCCCUGAGUUCGUUUUUAUAUACAGUGUAUGAUUUUGUCUGUGGCGAGACAGGGGGUCUGUGUUUCUGGUGUUUGCAUGUGGCUGUCCCAGCACGAUUCAUCGGGGGA